AUGAUGGAUGUUGCAGGUUCAUUGAUGACAGCCAAGGGUUCAUGCUCGGAAAUGACUACAUCUUGCUCCAUGUUGUCGGCUCAGCUAAAGUCCUUAAUCAUGAGGAGAUGGGACACGUCGAUUGUUACAGUACACUCGACAGGUGCAUUUUGUGAUAUUCUAGCCAAAAUAUUGAUAGCAUGCUUGCCUGCUCGUUCUUUUCAGUUCAAAUAA
rnacentral:rRNA from 1 species